rnacentral:lncRNA from 1 species
GUAUAUAUAAAGCAACCUUCUGGUUUUGUUACUCAAGGGGAGUCAAGCAAAGUUUACUAACUUCACAAACCAUUUUAUAGCCUAAAGCAAAAUUCUAGGCUUUGCCUGGAAGAUUUAGUGAGGUAGGAUUGGAAUUUGGUAUGCAAAGAGAAAUUGUAAUCACUCAUUGUUCUAUAAAUAGUUUGAAGAAGUUUAAUUUUGUUAGUGGUAUAUGUGGAUGACAUUGAUAUCAUUGAAGCAACUUUGUAGGUAUUCAUCUCUUGAGUCCUUUCUCCAAACUUAGUUUCAGAAUAAGGACUUGGAACUCUAGAAGUAUUAUUGGGCAUUGAGAUUACAAGGACCAACAAAGGAAUAUUUUUAUAUUAGAUUAUAUAUAUCCUUGAUUAUUGGCAAAAAUAGGGUAGUUGGGUGCUAAGUCUAAUAGUGCACAAUGAUUCCAAAUUUAUAACUUACAAUAGAGGGUGGUGGGUUGUUUGGUUUUGUGAAAUACAGGAGAUUGGUGGGCAAGUUGAAUUACUUUACAAUAACUCAUUUUGUUAUUGCAGAUUCAUCAGUGUGUUAAGUUAAUUUAUGUUUUCCCCUACUGCUUCUCAUUGGAAAGCUCUAGGAAAAAUCGUGUGCUACUUGAAGGAAGCUCCAGGACGAGCCUACUAUAUAAAAAUAAUGGACUUCUAAGUGUUUAAUGGGUUUCGGAUGUAGAUUGGGUAGGAUUUAAGGCUGGUGAGAAAUCAUCUAGAGGUUGUUACGUAUCAGAGAAAAAGGUAUAAGAAUAGGGCUGGGUAAGCACUGUAAUUGGAGGGAAAAGUUGUUAGAGAUAGUUAUACCUGCUGAAGUAGUUAGAGCAGUUAUUUUAGGAGAGAAAUCUUGUAUAAAAGGGGGCUGAAACUAUGUACAGAGGCAUUGAGAAUUCUUGAAGAGUCAUUAAUAAUUCUCUCAUUCGUUCUCUCUCUCGCUCUCUCUUUCUCUCUCUCUCCCCUCUCAUCUCCUUGUCUCCUCUCUGUUCCUAUUCUUCUAUCUCUCUUUCUAUUUUCUCUUUUCACAAUAUUCUGAGUUAGGGCUUCUACCUAACAUUGGUAUCAGAGCAGGUUUGAAGGUGGGCAUCGAUUGCAAACUGGUUUUUGAAGAUUGCAAGAAUGGCAGGAUCAGUGGUGGUGGGGCCGGACGCUGCAAAUUGGCGGAAUUGGAAGAUCUAGUCAGAAUUCUCCACGGCGAUUCUUGCAACACAUGGAAAGAUGUAGAAAGAGUAAGAGUGGAUCUUAAAUUGCAAGAAGAAGUUGGUAGAGUAAACAAGAGUAUUGCAGAAUCAAGGCAAUCCAUCGUUGAAGAAUUGACUGCUGUUAUGGCAAAAAUGUGGGCUACUCAGGGUAAAGAAAGUGGUUCUGUUGAGAAAGAAUUGAUGAGAAGUGGGGAAAAUAACAAUCUUGGAAGUAAAAUUCCACAGGGAUCUUGGGGAAGGAAAUAUUACCAGUUCCAAAGGAAUCGGGGGUUGGUCGGGAUGGAGAUGCCAACAGCUCCACUUCUUUGGAGAAUUCGAAACUCGAAAGGAUGCUGCCAAAGAUUGAGUUGAUUACUUUUGAAGGGGUGACCCAAGGGUUUGGCUUAGGAAUGCAACAAAUACUUUGAAGUUUAUGAGGUGCCAAAUAAAAAAAAAGGUAAGCAUAGCAAGCCUUUAUUUGAUGGGUAAGGCCGAUUCUUGGUACCAUAACUGGGUUAGAGGAAGAAGGAAUCAGUCUUGGGAAGAAUUUGAGGCUGAUCUAUGUAGAAGGUUUGGAGAGAAAGGAUUAGAAGAUGUUGAAGAAUUUAUGAAAAUGAGACAAGAAGGGUUCGUAGGGGAUUACCAAGAUAAGUUUGAGGAUAUAAGGGUGAGGAUGGAAAGAUUUGCACCUGCUUUGGAGGAAAAUUACUUCUUGUCAGGAUUCAUUGGAGGCCUUAGGGAUGAAAUCAGACCUAUGGUAAGAAUGUUGAGACCUACCAAUCUUGCUCAUGCAUUUGAGAUUGCAAGGUUGCAAGAGCAGCUGCUGCACAACAAUGGGAAACCUGCCCUAGCCUCAAAACCCACAUUCACCUUCUAUAAAAAUACUUCCAAUUCCAAUACCAUUAACCCUCAAUCGCUAACUUAUAAAACUGCUCAGCUACACCAUAAUUUUCUCUACACCACCAAACCCCCAAAUGAGAGCACAAUCUCCAAAAGUGCCUCAAAUGUCCCUACUAAACCUUACUCCGCUACUAGUACUAACUCCGUAAACCAAACCUCCACCAAACCAAGCAAUACGAAUCUUGUAAACACUACUAAGCUCUCAAGACCUUGCUAUAGAUGUGGGGAUAAGUUUUUUCUAGGGCACCAAUGCAAGGCUAAAGCCGUCAUGACAUUGCAAAUAGAAGAGCAAGGUAAGGAAAGUAGUGAUGAGUAUAUGGAGGAAGGGUUAAUAGAAGAAGUACUAGAAAUGGGACAGACAGAAGCUGAAAUGACAUUGUCUGUCCAUGCCAUUGAAGGUAGCCAGGGAGAGGACACCAUUAAAGUCCUCGAAAGGUAUAAGGAUAGACAAUUAGUGAUUUUAGUGGAUAGUGGAAGCAAUAAUACUUUCUUGGAUAAAAGGGUUGCCCAAGAAUUAAAGAUUCCUCUAGUACAAAUUCCUCCUGCUGUGGUUAAAGUUGCUGAUGGGAGACAAAUAAUGAGUUGCACUAUGUGUUCUGAAUUUCAAUGGCAGGCACAACAACGCUUAUUCUCUUUUCCUAUGAGAAUAUUGGAUUUGGGGGGUUUUGACAUGACAUUGGGGGUAGAUUGGAUGAAGAGUGUUAAUCCAGUAUUAUUGCACAACAACACUUAUUCUCUUUUCCUAUGAGAAUAUUGGAUUUGGGGGGUUUUGACAUGAUAUUGGGGGUAGAUUGGAUGAAGAGUGUCAGUCCAGUAUUAUUUGAUUUGAAGGGCUACAAAUAUCAUUUCAAAAAGGAGGGAGAAGAGUCACCUUAAAAGGGGUUAAGGAGGAUUCUAAUACUGGUGAAGUUCGGGAAUGUAGCAAUCUUGACAAGCUUUUUCACAAACAAGGACUGGAUUUUCAAUCUCCAAUUUUUUGGGUGAAGUCACAACAAUCAGACCAUGCAAAUUACCCUACACUGUGCUUUACCUCCAAAGCCCUGAUAUGGAAUCCCAUGUGCAACAUUUUGAGGCUGUGUUCCAAGUUCUACAGAAACAGCAAUUGUUUGCAAAGAUGUCUAAAUGCUCUUUUGGGCAGAAUGGUGGUAUAAUUCUUCCUAUCAUAGUGCCAUGAAAAUGACACCAUUUGAGGCUUUAUAUGGAUAUUAUCCUCCUGCUCUGCUGGCUGUCCUACCAGCAGAAUCUCCAGUGCAAGCAGUAGCUGAGUUCUUCACUCAAAGGCAGCAUAUACAUGAUCUGCUUAAGUCCAACUUGGAGCAGGCCAGGAAUAGGAUGAAACAAGAAGCUGACAAGAGAAGAAGUGAGAGGGAAUUCCAAGGAGAUUGGAUAUACCUCAAAUUGCAGCCGUAUAGACAAACCUCAUGGGCACUAAGAAAGAAUUUAAAGUUGGCUGCCAAGUACUAUAGGCCUUACUAGGUGUUGAAAAGAGUGGGAAAAGUAGCAUACCAGCUUCAAUUGCCGGAAAACACUUCCAUACACCCUGUAUUCCAUGUAUUGUUACUCAAGAGGAAAUUGGGAGAUACCAUAGUACCUCAAACUCAAUUACCUACAAUGGUAGAGGAAGAAGUGCUGGUGGCUCCUGCUGUUGUACCCAAGACAAGGACUAUUGAAAGAGAUGGUCAAUCUGUUAACUAGGACCUAAUUCAAUAGACCAAUCUCACUACCGAGGAAGCCACAUGGGAAGAUAGGCCUUCAUCCAAGCUCAAUUCCCUGAGUUUCAGCAUCCUUGGGGACAAGAAUGCCUUAAUGGAGGAGGUAUUGUUACGUAUCAGAGAAAAAGGUAUAAGAAUAGGGCUGGGUAAGCACCGUAAUUGGAGGGAAAAGUUGUUAGAGAUAGUUAUAACUGCUGAAGUAGUUAGAGCAGUUAUUUUAGGAGAGAAAUCUUGUACAAAAGGGGGCUGAAACUAUGUACAGAGACAUUGAGAAUUCUUGAAGAGUCAUUAAUAAUUAUCUCCUUCGUUCUCUCUCUCUCUCUCUCUCAUCUCCUUAUCUCCUCUUUGUUCCUAUUCUUCUAUCUCUCUUUCUAUUUUCUCUUUUCACAAUAUUCUGACUUAGGGCUUCUACCUAAUAGAGGUACUUUCUUUUUCGGAGGUAAUAUGAUAUCGUGGAGAAAUAAGAAUUAGUGUAGUUUGUCGAUCCAGUGUUAAGUCAGAAUAUAUGGCCAUGGCAUAAUCGAUUUGCGAAGUAAUGUGGAUACUUUAGUUAUUCGAUUAGAUUAGCCUUAAGAUUUCACUACCUAAUAAGUUAUUGUAUGAAAAUCAAGCUUUUUCCCAUGUUGCUUCCAAUUCAAUGUUUCACGAGCGAGCUAAACACAGUGACAUAGCCUGUCAUUUUGUUUGUGAAAAGGUAUAACAAAGAGUCAUCUUAAGUUGACACAUCAAGACUGCUGAAGAAUUGGAGGUAUAUUUACAAAAGCCUUGAAUGGUGCUAAGGUUGGCUAUAUUUGUAACAAGUCGGCGUGGUUAACAUCUAUGCUCUAACUUAAGAGGCGAUGCUAAGGAAAGACAAAUCUUGCAAGUAUAUUUGAUUGUAUUCCUAAUUAGUUGCAUGAUUAUAGGAUUGCAUUUCUAAAUAGAUAGGAAUAAUUGUAUAUAAAUAUACUUGCAGUUUACUCUGAAAAAUAUAAGAAAAACGUGCUCCUUUCAUAGUUUGAUUCAAUGCAACACAUUCAUUUGAAUCCAUUGCUUUUGGUGAAAGCUAUGGUAUUAUUGUUAGGAGCAGGGAGU